GACGAACGCUGGCGGCAUGCCUAACACAUGCAAGUCGAGCGAGCAGAUCCCUUCGGGGUGAAGCUAGCGGCGGACGGGUGAGUAACACGUGGGCAACCUGCCUCAUAGAGGGGAAUAGCCUUCCGAAAGGAAGAUUAAUACCGCAUAAGAUUGUAGCUUCGCAUGAAGCAGUAAUUAAAGGAGCAAUCCGCUAUGAGAUGGGCCCGCGGCGCAUUAGCUAGUUGGUGAGGUAACGGCUCACCAAGGCGACGAUGCGUAGCCGACCUGAGAGGGUGAUCGGCCACAUUGGGACUGAGACACGGCCCAGACUCCUACGGGAGGCAGCAGUGGGGAAUAUUGCACAAUGGGGGAAACCCUGAUGCAGCAAUGCCGCGUGAGUGAUGAUGGCCUUCGGGUUGUAAAGCUCUGUCUUUGGGGACGAUAAUGACGGUACCCGAGGAGGAAGCCACGGCUAACUACGUGCCAGCAGCCGCGGUAA
rnacentral:rRNA from 1 species